GUCCCAGUGGCGUAGUGGUUAACGCACGGCUCCGGUUAGGUAGAAGGUGCAGGUUCGAUUCCCGCCUAAGAUG
rnacentral:tRNA from 1 species